UACGUAGGGGGCGAGCGUUGUCCGGAUUCAUUGGGCGUAAAGAGCUCGUAGGCGGCUUGGCAAGUCGGGUGUGAAAACUUCAGGCUCAACCUGGAGCGGCCACUCGAUACUGCCAUGGCUUGAGUCCGGUAGGGGACCACGGAAUUCCUGGUGUAGCGGUGAAAUGCGCAGAUAUCAGGAGGAACACCGGUGGCGAAGGCGGUGGUCUGGGCCGGCACUGACGCUGAGGUGCGAAAGCGUGGGGAGCAAACAGG
rnacentral:rRNA from 1 species